UAGAGUUUGAUCCUGGCUCAGGACGAACGCUGGCGGCGUGCUUAACACAUGCAAGUCGAACGAUGAACCACUUCGGUGGGGAUUAGUGGCGAACGGGUGAGUAACACGUGGGCAAUCUGCCCUGCACUCUGGGACAAGCCCUGGAAACGGGGUCUAAUACCGGAUACUGAACCUUGCAGGCAUCUGUGAGGGUCGAAAGCUCCGGCGGUGCAGGAUGAGCCCGCGGCCUAUCAGCUAGUUGGUGAGGUAAUGGCUCACCAAGGCGACGACGGGUAGCCGGCCUGAGAGGGCGACCGGCCACACUGGGACUGAGACACGGCCCAGACUCCUACGGGAGGCAGCAGUGGGGAAUAUUGCACAAUGGGCGAAAGCCUGAUGCAGCGACGCCGCGUGAGGGAUGACGGCCUUCGGGUUGUAAACCUCUUUCAGCAGGGAAGAAGCGAAAGUGACGGUACCUGCAGAAGAUAGCGCCGGCUAACUACGUGCCAGCAGCCGCGGUAAUACGUAGGGCGCAAGCGUUGUCCGGAAUUAUUGGGCGUAAAGAGCUCGUAGGCGGCUUGUCGCGUCGGUUGUGAAAGCCCGGGGCUUAACCCCGGGUCUGCAGUCGAUACGGGCAGGCUAGAGUUCGGUAGGGGAGAUCGGAAUUCCUGGUGUAGCGGUGAAAUGCGCAGAUAUCAGGAGGAACACCGGUGGCGAAGGCGGAUCUCUGGGCCGAUACUGACGCUGAGGAGCGAAAGCGUGGGGAGCGAACAGGAUUAGAUACCCUGGUAGUCCACGCCGUAAACGGUGGGCACUAGGUGUGGGCAACAUUCCACGUUGUCCGUGCCGCAGCUAACGCAUUAAUU
rnacentral:rRNA from 1 species